CCUACGGGGGGCUGCAGUGGGGAAUAUUGGACAAUGGGGGCAACCCUGAUCCAGCCACGCCGCGUGUGUGAAGAAGGCCCUCGGGUUGUAAAGCACUUUCAGUGAGGAAGAACGCCUGGUGGUUAAUACCCAUCAGGAAAGACAUCACUCACAGAAGAAGCACCGGCUAACUCCGUGCCAGCAGCCGCGGUAAUACGGAGGGUGCGAGCGUUAAUCGGAAUUACUGGGCGUAAAGCGCGCGUAGGUGGCUUGAUAAGCCGGUUGUGAAAGCCCCGGGCUCAACCUGGGAACGGCAUCCGGGACUGUCAAGCUAGAGUGCAGGAGAGGAAGGUAGAAUUCCCGGUGUAGCGGUGAAAUGCGUAGAGAUCGGGAGGAAUACCAGUGGCGAAGGCGGCCUUCUGGACUGACACUGACACUGAGGUGCGAAAGCGUGGGUAGCAAACAGGAUUAGAUACCCCAGUAGUC
rnacentral:rRNA from 1 species